GCCGGCGUGGCGGAAUUGGUAGACGCAGCAGACUCAAAAUCUGCCGCCCGCAAGGGUGUAUCGGUUCAAGUCCGAUCGCCGGUA
rfam:Spirochaeta americana strain ASpG1 genome assembly, contig: Ga0071122_106